CACAGUGAUGUCCAGUGGGACCAAUGCACGGUGAUACCCCAGGUCAAUCUCAGGGUUCAAAACCGGCCCCUGAGGCACCCCCAGGAGGCAGAGCAGGGGUUUCUCAUUCUGAGACAGCAGCAGAGGGACUCCAUGCUGCGAUGCAUUCAAUGGUUUCCUUUUCACUAUUGCUCUCACGUUUUUGGGUGUGCGCGUUUUGCCCCUCCUGCUCACUGUUCCCUUCUCUUACUCCUUUCCUCUGGGUUUGAUGCUGGGGACUGGGGGUGACGGGGAGUUGUUUUUAUUCCCACUGCCCUCACUGUGGACAGCAGUCCCAUGCCAUUUCCCAGAAGGUCCCUCCAGGGGGACCUUCUACUUCUGUAUCUCUUUAGUAAGGUAUCUGGACUGGUAUCGAAUGCCCUUGCCGCAGGGGGGACCUUCUCAUCUGAGAACCAGGAACAAGCAGUAGUCAUUCCAGCUCAUGUUUAAUGGGAGGCCCGGGGUAAUUCCUUGUGUGUUACAGCCCGAUACCUCCAGCACCAACGUGAGUUUCUGCAGAAAUUCCCCUCUGUGAUAUUUCCCAGUGCCUCACAUGCUUUUCCAGCCCAGAGCAAUCAGCUUGCACUGCCUGGUGCUCAGCCCUGAGCAAGGACAGCCCUGCAGGUCCGAUGUGAGUUUGGGCAUAGCUUUGCUUUUAGCAUCAGAAAUAAUUUAUUGGUGACAAAAGUCACGGAGCGCUCAGAGCCCGGCUCCUCUGGAAAACGGUGGGAGGCAUAAAUGCAGCUUUUAUUUCAUCCUGACACCUAAAUGCGGUCUGUUUUAAAACAAACAGAGGAAUUUGCGCUUCAUGCUGCUGCCUCCGCUUUCUUCCGCAAAACAAGAGAGAAAAAGUAACAAAAACUUGAAAAGAGUAAUAGGAAAAAACCCUUCUCCCAUUGUAAAGCAGCGGCGCUGCGCAGGCUGAGCAGCGGCAGAGAUGAAUAAUUCAUUCCACUAAAAACACAAAAACAACCAAGAUCUUCUCACCCCUUUCCAGCAAUGGAACGUGCAGGCGGAGUUUUUCCAGCCUUAGUGUGUGCUGAGUGCUGCCCCUGCUCCAUCCAUGUCCUGUGCAUGUCCACGUCUCACCAUUCAUGUCCACGUCUCACCAUUCAUGUCCACGUCCCAACAUUCAUGUCCACGUCCCAUCCAUGCUGCAAUUGUGUCCCAUCCGUGCCACAUCCAUGUAUCAUCCAUGUCCCACGUGUGUCCCAUCCAUGUCUCAUUCAUGUCCCAUCUGUGUCAUCUAUGUUUCCUGCGUAUCCCAUCCCUGCUCUGCAUCUCAUCCCAUCCAAUAUUUCCCCAUCCGUGACCCAUCCCUCCUCCUUCAGCCAGGGAAUGCCCACAGCAGUGAGGGCAGCCCCUGUAUGGGAGCUGCUGAAUCACGGCCUGAACCUCUGAUUGACCACUUGAGGCAGGCAAUGAGUCAGCUGUGGGAGCACAGGUGAAGGUAAUUCACUUGUGCUAAUGGAAGGGGUGGAGCCUGGCUCCACCUCUCCUAGACCCCAUUUAAGUCCUGGCUGCCACUGAGGAAAGAUCUCUCAUUCCUCAUGAGAAUAUUGUGAGUCUAAAAUGUCAGCAAGCAUUUUCUAUUUAUUGUCUUGGGGUUGAGUUUAAGCACUGGGGUUGGGUUUAAGCACUGCAGGAGUGAACCGGAGCCCCGCAGUGCUCAGGUUGAGGUUCUCGUGGGCUUUAAGGACCGCCUGCGCUCCUGCUUGCAGCGAAGCUUUGGAGCUGAGGCUGCGGACUGGGACCACUCUGGAUCCCAUGCACCCAGAGUGGGUUAAUCCCCAAAUAUUCACUGUUUUUCCUGCUGUGAGCCAAUGCUGUGGUGUGGGCUGUUUUCGUGCCGCAUCCUCUGCCCCCAGCUGGUGCUGGGCAGCCCCAGGAAUCUGUUACCAUACGUAAAGUGAACUUGGUGCUGGCCAUUUCCUCUUCUCAUGGAGAGUGAGUUAAGGGCCUGUGGCAGAUGAUGUACUUCUGAAGAAAACCAUAAAUCGAUGCUCUGGGCCGUACUGCAACUCUCCGCGGCGCUCUUCAGCGAUGCGUUCAGCAGCACUUUGAAUACUUUCCACUCAAGACAGAAUCAUUCAGCCAAAAAAACAGGAAACACAUCACCCGCAGCAGUGCCUCUGAUUUGAGUACACCUGUUCUCAUAAUGAGCACGGCAGCUGAUAUUAACUCCACUCCAGCAGCAGCUCCGUGAGCCGAGGCAUGGGCUGCAGAGCAUCACUCUGGCUGCUCAUCUCUUGUUGCUGGGUUUGGGGCUUAGGCUGUGGGAUGAUGGAGACAGUGCUUGGCACCCUGGGGAAAGCAACGGUCCUGGGGAUCCCAGCUCACUUCCAGAAUCUCACCCAGCACUUUGGGACAGCCACAUGGAAGAGGAGUGUGGAAAAUCCACUAAGCAAGGAAUACUUGUUCACAUACAACAAAGGUAACUACACCAACUACAAACCGGGACAGAUUCUCUUCCACCCAUCCAACUUCUCACUGGAGAUCCUCAGCACCCAACGGCAGGACCAGCAGCUCUACGAAUACUCUGUCACCACUGGAGCGGGGGAGAAAAACUGGCAGCUCCGACUGGCGGUGUAUGAACCCGUGUCCGAUCCCAGCAUCCACAUCCUCAACUGGAUGCUGGCCAACGACAGCUGCACGGUCACCCUCAACUGCACGGCAGCACAAGGGGACAACGUGUCCUACAGCUGGGCCAGCUCCGAGGCCAGCACCUCAUCACUCUGCACCCGCAACGGCAGCCUCCUGCUGCUCUCCUACGACCCCACCAACAGCAACCUGCCCUGCGCCUGCACCGCCAGCAACCCCGUAAGCCGCCGCACCGCCGCCCUCCACUCCUCCGUCUGCAGAUCCGAGGAGCAAGGCGGCUGGAGGACAGGGAUGCUGCUGCUGGGGGUGGUGCUGCCCAUAAUGAUCCUGAUUGUGCUCGCUGGGGCCUUCACUGUGGCCCAUGUGGCUGCAAACAUGAGACAAGGAAGGGAGCAGUCGCCGCUGGCUGAGGACAGCACAGUGCACACCAUCUACUCCCAGGUGCAGCGGGUGGAGGUGAGUGAGCCCUGCACCCUAAAGUUGUGUCCUUGUAGCUCUAUGGGCUGUGAGGUUGGAGCACAGGGUGCCAAAGCAGCCUUGCAACAGGAGACAGUGAGGUCAUACCCACCCGGGAGCGGGGUGGCUGUGGGCUCCCCAAGUGUCACCUCUGGCACGGCCACUUUACUUUGGGAUUGUUUUGGGUGCUGCAAUCUCCCCGGCCCUCAGCAUCCCAAGGUGGCUCUGGGGAUAAACUGUAUCAGGAGGCCUUGUAGUGCUGGAGGAAGGGGAGAGCAGCGAGCUGGCUGCCAUUGCUCACUUUCUGUUCCCGGUACAGAAGCCAAAGUCCCCCUGCAGCCCUCUGGGCACUGAUCACCCCAGCUGCACCACCAUUUACACCGCAGCCACCGGCACAUCCCUGGCCCCCCACAGCUCUCAGAGCCCCAGCACGGAGCCUAUGACAGUUUAUGCCAGCGUGAUGCUGCCCCUCAGCUGAGCCUCCCCGCGGGGCGGGACCCGGCUCCGCCACCGCACCCUGCAUCCAAACCCCGCAUCCCUGCAGGGGACCUCGCACAUCCCUGCGGAAACGGGGCACGCUGCUCCCGGCCCCAAAGCAUCGCGCCGAUGAUCGCUGGAGCGACGCGUAUGGCCGAAGGAAGGGAAGAAAGCAAAGAGAGCAGCGCGGGGACGGGACGAGACAACAGCAGCUCUCGGAGGGACGGACUCGCCAGGGGGAGCCCACAGGGGGCAACGCGGGCUGCCUAACUACAGAAGAAAAGGAAAACCGACGAAUCAGGAGGUGCCCCGUGGGAGGUUUCGAGGUGCGCGCUGAAGAAGCGGUGUCACAGCGAGGAGCCCCGCGGCUCUCCCAGCUCUCCCGUGGCCGUGGGAAGCGCCGCGUCGCUUCUCCAUCCCCUGGGCUGGGUGUCUGGCUGAGCUUGAGGGUGGGGGCAGCUCUGUGCCCCCAUCACGCACAGCACCGGGACACGGGGUGGCUCAGGGCUGUCGGCUCUUUCCAGCUGUGCCAUAAUCCCACCGCUGCUGGGCUCAGGCAGCAGGGCCGACCUGACCUGCUAGAGAAAAUAAAGCUAUAGGAAAAUCUU